GCUGGCGGCAUGCUUUACACAUGCAAGUCGAGCGGCAGCGCGGGGGCAACCCUGGCGGCGAGCGGCGAACGGGUGAGUAACACAUCGGAACGUACCCCGGAGUGGGGGAUAGCCCGGCGAAAGCCGGAUUAAUACCGCAUAUGCUCUGAGGAGGAAAGUGGGGGACCGCAAGGCCUCACGCUCUGGGAGCGGCCGAUGUCCGAUUAGCUAGUUGGUGGGGUAAAGGCCUACCAAGGCGACGAUCGGUAGCUGGUCUGAGAGGAUGAUCAGCCACACUGGGACUGAGACACGGCCCAGACUCCUACGGGAGGCAGCAGUGGGGAAUUUUGGACAAUGGGGGCAACCCUGAUCCAGCCAUGCCGCGUGCGGGAAGAAGGCCUUCGGGUUGUAAACCGCUUUUGGUCGGAAAGAAAAGGCCACGUCUAAUACACGUGGUUCUUGACGGUACCGGCAGAAUAAGCACCGGCUAACUACGUGCCAGCAGCCGCGGUAAUACGUAGGGUGCGAGCGUUAAUCGGAAUUACUGGGCGUAAAGCGUGCGUA
rnacentral:rRNA from 1 species